CACUUCACCGUUAGGAACAUUUAAGAACUAGAACCCGGGAAUGAUAUUGACUCCAAACCCUUUGUCUAAGCAGAUACGUUCUUUAUAUGUCCUGUUCAUCUUGUGGUGUUGAGUUUGACUAGUGGAUCUACCGAAUGCUCCCCCUAAGCUGUUGCUGAGAUUUCUUUAAUAAUCCUUAUCCUUGCAAAGAGAUUCUGCUUGGAUCUGAAUCAUCAUUAUACCAAUAAUAUCACCUUUAACAGCUUGGAGCAAAGUGUCGUUCAACGUCCCAUCCAGACUUACAAUCACCUUCUGUUGAUCAAUCAUAAUCACCCUGUAGACUGUAGACUCCAUUGAGUAGCCGAGGAAAAUAUUCUUUGAUUUUCAAAUGCAAGACUUUCAAAGAGGCAUUUUCCUCCAAACACAUACCAAGAGUUAGUGUUUGCUUUUGAUUGGCCACUAAGAAUGGUGUCUUU
rnacentral:lncRNA from 1 species